CUCCGUGGGGCUCAGCCAGGCUCCAGCAGGGUCAGAUGUGCUGUUAAGAGCAAAGCCACAGACGAUGAAUUGUUCAUUCUCAGCAGAUGCUCCAGGCUGCGCCUAGACAGCAGUGCUGGUGAAAUUUCCAGGGUUCCAGGGCCCAGUGGCCUGGGGGCUGCUUUCUCCCCACUGGCUGGGCUGCAUCUAGCCCGAGCUGGAGGCCUUGCUCUGAGGGGCUGUGACCCUCUUCCCCCAGGCCCUCCCCAGCUGACCACAGCCACCGGAGAGGAGAUCGGAACACGAUUGUCUCGGAUGCAGGUCACUGAGCAGGACGGAGCCGCAAGGACUCUCGUAUUGGGCCCUUGGGACUCGGGAGGUGCCAGAGGCGGCCGCUGCUCUGAACUCGGUGUUCACUGGCCUUUGUUUCGCUUGAUUCUGCUCAAUUCCGAGACCAGGAAACCCGGCCCUGGCCUGGCAGCUCUGCCUUCCACGCCCGCACGCUGGGGUCUGUCUUGUCUCGAGCAGUGGGGCAGACCCCAGAGGAGGCAGGGGUCAGGGUCGUCGGCCUUGGUCCCCUGCUGGUCGCUCUUUCGGGGACUCGGGGCGGCCAGUACCACCGCCUGAGGCGGGGCUUAGCGUUGCAUGUACGGGCCUCGCACUGCCUCAUGGAAAAUCCCCCCGAGCCGCCCUCCAUUGUGGGUUCCUGAGGGUAGGACGCAUCGCCACGGUUUUGUGGGAAUCAUGCACCCCUGCUGGAACUUUCCUGCUGUUGUGCAGUACUUUUACCCAUUUGCUUGUCUGCUGACCUUGCCAAGUUGUUCGAGGUGGAAUUAAACAUCUCCCAGACC